rnacentral:rRNA from 1 species
ACUCAAUAGAUACCCGGGUAGUCCACGCCCUAAACGAUGUCGACUGGGUGUUGGGGAAGCGAUUUCCCAGUACCGUAGCUAAACGCGUGAAAGUCGACCGCCUGGGGAGUACGGCCGCAAGGUUAAAACUCAAAGGAAUUGACGGGGACCCGCACAAGCGGUGGAUGAUGUGGAUUAAUUCGAUGCAACGCGAACAACCUUACCUACCCUUGACAUGUCCGGAAGCCCGGUGAGAGCUGGGGGUGCCCGAAAGGGAACCGGAACACAGGUGCUGCAUGGCUGUCGUCAGCUCGUGUCGUGAGAUGUUGGGUUAAGUCCCGCAACGAGCGCAACCCUUGUCCCUAGUUGCUACGCAAGGGCACUCUAGGGAGACUGCCGGUGACAAACCGGAGGAAGGUGGGGAUGACGUCAAGUCCUCAUGGCCCUUAUGGGUAGGGCUUCACACGUCAUACAAUGGCCGGUACAGAGGGUUGCCAAGCCGCGAGGCGGAGCCAAUCCCCGUAAAAGCCGGUCGUAGUCCGGAUUGCAGUCUGCAACUCGACUGCAUGAAGUCGGAAUC